CCUACGGGGGGCAGCAGUGGGGAAUAUUGGACAAUGGGGGCAACCCUGAUCCAGCCAUGCCGCGUGUGUGAAGAAGGCCCUCGGGUUGUAAAGCACUUUCAGUGAGGAAGAACGCCUGGUGGUUAAUACCCAUCAGGAAAGACAUCACUCACAGAAGAAGCACCGGCUAACUCCGUGCCAGCAGCCGCGGUAAUACGGAGGGUGCGAGCGUUAAUCGGAAUUACUGGGCGUAAAGCGCGCGUAGGUGGCUUGAUAAGCCGGUUGUGAAAGCCCCGGGCUCAACCUGGGAACGGCAUCCGGAACUGUCCAGCUAGAGUGCAGGAGAGGAAGGUAGAAUUCGCGGUGUAGCGGUGAAAUGCGUAGAGAUCGGGAGGAAUACCAGUGGCGAAGGCGGCCUUCUGGACUGACACUGACACUGAGGUGCGAAAGCGUGGGUAGCAAACAGGAUUAGAUACCCUUGUAGUC
rnacentral:rRNA from 1 species